GGCUCGUCAAGUGCUGGCUUUAUGUGUCCUCACUCUACUCUGCUGGUUGCUUUUGGUGCAGGACAUGUGGCAGGAGUGUGGGAGCUGAACUUGUGCAUCGGAUGCAGGAUAUGCAACAUGUUAGUCCAGUAAAUUUUAAGACUGCAGUGAAUCAUGAAUCUGAAUUCUGGAGUUCAUCAUGAAAAGGCAAAUUCACCUUUUCAGGCUCUCUACUUGAACGACGCAGUAUCAUGAUAACAAGGACCCAAGUCCUCGGAAAGCUUUAUCAGACAUGUAACACAGCAGACACAGAUGAAGAUAUAAGGUAGGUUAUUUGGGGGGUGAAAGAAUUUGCUAAUAUCAUUAGGAAGCUAGCAAGCAAAAGGUCUGCUCUGCAUCUGAUCUGACUCACAUGCAAGCUCAAAAACUGAAAAGGCACCAUGCUAGCUUUCUCAUGCAACAUAAAAAGGAAAGGUUUGUGCAUACUGGCACAUGGCACAUAUACAUUCUAGUGGGCACUAAUUUAGUGGCCAUUCUUAUUAGUGCACUAGCAUGCCUUUGAUUAUUCUGGAACAACAGUUGAUGUCCUACUUGUUUGCCACCACAGGACCAAUGUUGUAUUGCUGCCAGGUUUGCUUCAGUUCAUCCGAGAGUGAUUAGGCUGUGUUUUUUCUAUCUAGCUAAAAAUGGAAGAUAAAAGAUUUUUUUUGAUUUCUGUGAUAACUAAUGGUAUGAACAAUAGAAAAUUAAUUACUAUAAAGUUAAAAGUUUACUUUAGAAAUGUGAGGUAAUGAAGCUCUAUUUAGAAACUUUUUGCACAAAACACACCGUUUAAUAGCUUGGGGAGUAUGCACGCAAAAUCGAGAGAAAAAUCUUAAGAAAAACUGAGAAAAAGAACGCAGCCUUAUUGCAAAUUGGAAUUUGGUCAAGAACAGUCAGAGGUACAGGAUACCUUCAUUAGAGAGAUAUAAUUUAGCAAUUCCUCCAAGGAUGUGGUUAUUACAGUAAGAGAAAUCAAGGAAGUGUAACCUCCAACGAUUUUCUGGAUCAUGUGAUUUUAUGGCUCCCAUUUGAGAGUAUAAAUGACUGAAUAAAAUUAUAGUACAAGUUGAAAUAUUGUUUUGGAAUGAUAAGAUGGUGAAUUCUUAUUUAGAAAUAGUUUACACGAAACACAAUGUUAAUGGCUUGGAAAGCAGGCCCAAAAAAGAAAAA